rnacentral:rRNA from 1 species
CACUCCUACGGGAGGCAGCAGUAGGGAAUCUUCGGCAAUGGGGGCAACCCUGACCGAGCAACGCCGCGUGAGUGAAGAAGGUUUUCGGAUCGUAAAGCUCUGUUGUAAGUCAAGAACGAGUGUGAGAGUGGAAAGUUCACACUGUGACGGUAGCUUACCAGAAAGGGACGGCUAACUACGUGCCAGCAGCCGCGGUAAUACGUAGGUCCCGAGCGUUGUCCGGAUUUAUUGGGCGUAAAGCGAGCGCAGGCGGUUUGAUAAGUCUGAAGUUAAAGGCUGUGGCUCAACCAUAGUUCGCUUUGGAAACUGUCAAACUUGAGUGCAGAAGGGGAGAGUGGAAUUCCAUGUGUAGCGGUGAAAUGCGUAGAUAUAUGGAGGAACACCGGUGGCGAAAGCGGCUCUCUGGUCUGUAACUGACGCUGAGGCUCGAAAGCGUGGGGAGCGAACAGGAUUAGAUACCCCGGUAGUCCCA